UACAGAGGUCUCAAGCGUUGUUCGGAUUCAUUGGGCGUAAAGGGUGCGUAGGCGGCGAGGCAAGUCAGGUGUGAAAUCUCGGGGCUCAACUCCGAAACUGCACUUGAUACUGCCUUGCUAGAGUACUGGAGAGGAGAUUGGAAUUUACGGUGUAGCAGUGAAAUGCGUAGAUAUCGUAAGGAAGACCAGUGGCGAAGGCGAAUCUCUGGACAGUUACUGACGCUGAGGCGCGAAGGCCAGGGGAGCAAACGGG
rnacentral:rRNA from 1 species